rnacentral:rRNA from 1 species
UACGGGGGGAGCAAGCGUUGUUCGGAUUUACUGGGCGUAAAGGGCGCGUAGGCGGCACCGCAAGUCGACUGUGAAAUCUCCGGGCUUAACUCGGAAAGGUCAGCCGAUACUGCGGGGCUAGAGUGCAGAAGGGGCAACUGGAAUUCUCGGUGUAGCGGUGAAAUGCGUAGAUAUCGAGAGGAACACCUGCGGCGAAGGCGGGUUGCUGGGCUGACACUGACGCUGAUGCGCGAAAGCUAGGGGAGCGAACGGG